rnacentral:rRNA from 1 species
UAGGGAAUAUUGGGCAAUGGACGCAAGUCUGACCCAGCCAUGCCGCGUGCAGGAUGAAGGCGUUAUGCGUUGUAAACUGCUUUUAUACAGGAAGAAACGACUCUUGCGAGAGGCAUUGACGGUACUGUAUGAAUAAGCACCGGCUAACUCCGUGCCAGCAGCCGCGGUAAUACGGAGGGUGCAAGCGUUGUCCGGAUUUAUUGGGUUUAAAGGGUGCGCAGGUGGUUUAUUAAGUCAGUGGUGAAAGACGGUCGCUCAACGAUUGCAGUGCCAUUGAAACUGGUAGACUUGAGUAAAGUAGAGGUGGGCGGAAUUGAUAGUGUAGCGGUGAAAUGCAUAGAUAUUAUCAAGAACUCCAAUUGCGUAGGCAGCUCACUUGGCUUUUACUGACACUCAUGCACGAAAGUGUGGGUAUCAAACAGGAUUAGAUACCCUGGUAGUCCACACUGUAAACGAUGAUAACUAGGUGUCGGCCGAAUCUGGUCGGUGCCACAGCGAAAGCGUUAAGUUAUCCACCUGGGGAGUACGCCGGCAACGGUG